rnacentral:rRNA from 1 species
CCUACGGGAGGCAGCAGUGGGGAAUUUUGGACAAUGGGCGCAAGCCUGAUCCAGCCAUUCCGCGUGCAGGACGAAGGCCUUCGGGUUGUAAACUGCUUUUGUACGGAACGAAAAGGUCCUGGUUAAUACCUGGGGCUCAUGACGGUACCGUAAGAAUAAGCACCGGCUAACUACGUGCCAGCAGCCGCGGUAAUACGUAGGGUGCAAGCGUUAAUCGGAAUUACUGGGCGUAAAGCGUGCGCAGGCGGUUAUGUAAGACAGAUGUGAAAUCCCCGGGCUCAACCUGGGAACUGCAUUUGUGACUGCAUAGCUAGAGUACGGUAGAGGGGGAUGGAAUUCCGCGUGUAGCAGUGAAAUGCGUAGAUAUGCGGAGGAACACCGAUGGCGAAGGCAAUCCCCUGGACCUGUACUGACGCUCAUGCACGAAAGCGUGGGGAGCAAACAGGAUUAGAUACCCUGGUAGUCCACGCCCUAAACGAUGUCAACUGGUUGUUGGGUCUUCACUGACUCAGUAACGAAGCUAACGCGUGAAGUUGACCGCCUGGGGAGUACGGCCGCAAGGUUGAAACUCAAAUGAAUUGACGG